rnacentral:lncRNA from 1 species
AUACAGAUUAGGAUUAUAAUAAAGAUAAAAUCAAAAAUAAAAAUAAAAUAAAAUAAACUGAAUGUGUGGUCGCAUGCGCGCCGCCGCCCACCAUGUUGUGCGUGUAUUUAAAUGAGAACAUAACUUUCAUUUUCUACCAAGUAACUAACUUGAGAAUAAAAAAAUAUAUAAAUACCAACAACACCUUUUCAGUUUUCAAUAUAGGACUAAAUUUCACAUAUGAAAAUUUUAGUUAGACCAACCGUCCCUAAAGCAAGUGGCAAAGGGCUUGGUGGUUGAUACCCGAGACCCAGGUUUGAAUCCUAGUUGAUUCACAUUUCCAGCUAAAUUUAUUUCUAAAUGAAAUAAAUGAAGCGGGUAGCGUGCUACCUAUCUCUCUCAAAAAAAAAAUAAUAAUAAUAAUAGUUAGGCUUCCAGGCAAGACCCAUUAAGUAUUGGACUGUGCAAGAGGCCUAACAAGUUUUAAAUCACUAAAAAUCCAAUAAAAUCCAACAGAAUAGGAAUCUAACGGAAGUUGAAAUAACUAAUUAUUUAUUGUAAAAGCUUGUCCGAUUAUAGUAUCUUAAUAUUUUAUAUUCAACAAAUGGACGAGAAAAUGAUAGAAUAUAUUUGUCAACUUGUCUUCCAUUAUUUGAUCCAAAUCCAAACCACGUAGCAAAUGUCUAAGAAUUAAGAUUCUACAGCAGUUGUUUCAGCAAUUGAUAAUUAGUAUUCGAGAUUUUAAGUUUGAAACUUAGCUGCUUUAUAUUUUCAGCCGAGUUCAUUUCUAAAAAAAUGAACUAAGCAUGCAGCUUACUAUCUUUUUCUCUCUCUCUCACUC